rnacentral:rRNA from 1 species
UACGUAGGGGGCAAGCGUUGUCCGGAUUUAUUGGGCGUAAAGAGCGUGUAGGCGGCUAUACAGGUCCGCUGUGAAAACUCGAGGCUCAACCUCGAGACGUCGGUGGAAACCGUAUGGCUAGAGUCCGGAAGAGGAGAGUGGAAUUCCUGGUGUAGCGGUGAAAUGCGCAGAUAUCAGGAGGAACACCGAUGGCGAAGGCAGGUCUCUGGGCCACUACUGACGCUGAGAAGCGAAAGCGUGGGGAGCGAACAGG